GAGUAACACGUGGGUAACCUGCCUGUAAGACUGGGAUAACUCCGGGAAACCGGAGCUAAUACCGGAUAGUUCCUUGAACCGCAUGGUUCAAGGAUGAAAGACGGUUUCGGCUGUCACUUACAGAUGGACCCGCGGCGCAUUAGCUAGUUGGUGAGGUAACGGCUCACCAAGGCGACGAUGCGUAGCCGACCUGAGAGGGUGAUCGGCCACACUGGGACUGAGACACGGCCCAGACUCCUACGGGAGGCAGCAGUAGGGAAUCUUCCGCAAUGGACGAAAGUCUGACGGAGCAACGCCGCGUGAGUGAUGAAGGUUUUCGGAUCGUAAAGCUCUGUUGUUAGGGAAGAACAAGUGCAAGAGUAACUGCUUGCACCUUGACGGUACCUAACCAGAAAGCCACGGCUAACUACGUGCCAGCAGCCGCGGUAAUACGUAGGUGGCAAGCGUUGUCCGGAAUUAUUGGGCGUAAAGGGCUCGCAGGCGGUUUCUUAAGUCUGAUGUGAAAGCCCCCGGCUCAACCGGGGAGGGUCAUUGGAAACUGGGAAACUUGAGUGCAGAAGAGGAGAGUGGAAUUCCACGUGUAGCGGUGAAAUGCGUAGAGAUGUGGAGGAACACCAGUGGCGAAGGCGACUCUCUGGUCUGUAACUGACGCUGAGGAGCGAAAGCGUGGGGAGCGAACAGGAUUAGAUACCCUGGUAGUCCACGCCGUAAACGAUGAGUGCUAAGUGUUAGGGGGUUUCCGCCCCUUAGUGCUGCAGCUAACGCAUUAAGCACUCCGCCUGGGGAGUACGGUCGCAAGACUGAAACUCAAAGGAAUUGACGGGGGCCCGCACAAGCGGUGGAGCAUGUGGUUUAAUUCGAAGCAACGCGAAGAACCUUACCAGGUCUUGACAUCCUCUGACAACCCUAGAGAUAGGGCUUUCCCUUCGGGGACAGAGUGACAGGUGGUGCAUGGUUGUCGUCAGCUCGUGUCGUGAGAUGUUGGGUUAAGUCCCGCAACGAGCGCAACCCUUGAUCUUAGUUGCCAGCAUUCAGUUGGGCACUCUAAGGUGACUGCCGGUGACAAACCGGAGGAAGGUGGGGAUGACGUCAAAUCAUCAUGCCCCUUAUGACCUGGGCUACACACGUGCUACAAUGGACAGAACAAAGGGCUGCGAGACCGCAAGGUUUAGCCAAUCCCACAAAUCUGUUCUCAGUUCGGAUCGCAGUCUGCAACUCGACUGCGUGAAGCUGGAAUCGCUAGUAAUCGCGGAUCAGC
rnacentral:rRNA from 1 species